rnacentral:rRNA from 1 species
AGAGUUUGAUCCUGGCUCAGGAUGAACGCUGGCGGCGUGCCUAAUACAUGCAAGUCGAACGAAACUUCUUUAUCACCGAGUGCUUGCACUCACCGAUAAAGAGUUGAGUGGCGAACGGGUGAGUAACACGUGGGCAACCUGCCCAAAAGAGGGGGAUAACACUUGGAAACAGGUGCUAAUACCGCAUAACCAUAGUUACCGCAUGGUAACUAUGUAAAAGGUGGCUAUGCUACCGCUUUUGGAUGGGCCCGCGGCGCAUUAGCUAGUUGGUGGGGUAAAGGCUUACCAAGGCAAUGAUGCGUAGCCGAACUGAGAGGUUGAUCGGCCACAUUGGGACUGAGACACGGCCCAAACUCCUACGGGAGGCAGCAGUAGGGAAUCUUCCACAAUGGGCGAAAGCCUGAUGGAGCAACGCCGCGUGGGUGAAGAAGGUCUUCGGAUCGUAAAACCCUGUUGUUAGAGAAGAAAGUGCGUGAGAGUAACUGUUCACGUUUCGACGGUA